GCAUAAUAUCGAGGACUAUGUAACUGCCCGAUCCAAGCAAUAGAAGACAACAUUCUACAUUAACAGUAAGCGUCGACUGAAGCUGACGUACUGGUUUCAGCACCUCCGCGAUGGCGCCGACUUCACUGAUGGUUACCUUCGCAUUAACCUUGUGCUCCGUUAAUGGUGUAUACUCUACGUGUUCAAGUGUCGAAAGCGUACUUUGUCAGUCUGUGUGCAGAUGUACGAUUUUAAGAUGUCAGUGUUUUCACGGCUGGAAUCCUCAAACCAUUCGUAGUUUAAACAAGAAAAUCCGUUUGCUGCGCCUGACAAACUAUACCAUCGGUAACAUUGAGUCCAAUGCGUUCAGUGGGAUGUCUUCUCUCCAAAGAAU